UACGAAGGGGGCUAGCGUUGUUCGGAAUUACUGGGCGUAAAGCGCGCGCAGGCGGUCUUCCAAGUCAGUGGUGAAAGCCCGGAGCUCAACUCCGGAACUGCCAUUGAAAACUGUAAGACUUGAGGAUGAGAGAGGUGAGUGGAAUUCCCAGUGUAGAGGUGAAAUUCGUAGAUAUUGGGAAGAACACCGGUGGCGAAGGCGGCUCACUGGCUCAUUACUGACGCUCAGGCGCGACAGCGUGGGGAUCAAACAGG
rnacentral:rRNA from 1 species